UCGAUUUUAUUGAUAUUGAUAUUUCUGUUAUAGGAUAUAAAUGGGUUAGGUAUACGGGUGCUCGUUACUUUUUUACUACUCGUUACCUGCAAUGAUCUCAGUUGGGAAGGACUUGGAUGGUAUGAUACUUGUUGUUGGACGUGCUUACCAUAAUGGCGAUAUGCUUCCUGCUAAGGUGAAACCAGAACAUGGUGUCGCUUAUGUCGCUCAUGGCGGAAAAGAACAUAUGAAGCAUGAAUUUGAGAUAUUAAUGCACGCCGAUUUUCGGUGGAUUCCAUCGAGUAAUGGUCAUGUUCCGCCAGAUGCAAUAGAAGCUGGAAGAACGGUAGAAGGAGAAAUACUUUUUGUUGGUCGUGCAUAUCAAAAUGAUGUACCAUGUGUAGGAAAGGCUCCUUUUCGUAGAGUUUUCUAGUGACUAAAAGCUACGUAUGGAUAGUUUUUUUCCCGCUAUAUUAUAGGAAUAGGGCGGUUCUUAUGGCUGCUCAGCACACAGGCCCCACGCCAUCUGCCAUUACAGACUAUACAUGCACAAGCGCCUCUAACAAGACCCCAAGAUCCAUAAUGGUUUUGCAUCAUACCGGGUGUGUCAAAAUUUUGAGAUU